AUAUGAAUUUCUAUUUUUAUUUCACUAAAGCAUUUCAUUAUUUUUAUAUGAAAAUCUGCAUGCUAAUUGUUUGAGGAAAUGCCUCAACCAAGAAUGUUCUUGUGUUAAUCAUGCUAGAGGUCCUGCGUUUCAACUCUCUGUAAAUGGGGCACAAAUCACUAUAUGGUUGGAUGAACCCAUUGUAUCAUCCAUCUAGUUGACCCUGCUUUAGUGGACCAACACAUAGAUUCACAAUGACUGGGGAAUUUUCCCCUGUUGACCAUUUUUGUUUUCAAUCAUCUGUUCGAUCAAUUGGCCAGGAUGAUUAUGUUAGUUUGACUUUUGAACUAUGGUCAAAAGUCAAACUGAGGGCUAUAUAAUUUGAUUGGUCUGUUUUCACAUGAAUGUGUGCUAUGUGUAUGGUGGAUGAGACAACAUAAAGUGAAGAGUGCUGGUGAAUGGCCUGGAUCUCCAACUGAGGUUCCCAGAGCAGAUUCAGCUGCAGUAAUCAGGAUGGAAGACGGAACGUCUUCUAUCAUCUUCGAUUGUUUGGAGGGAACAUUGGAUUCAUGGUCCUUUGAAUGAAAAGAUCAACUAGGUAAGCCUCUUCUCUGUUAUAUCCCCUUGUGCGUUCGAUCCUUGCUCAUGCCCCCAAUGCAGAAUAGAGGAAUUAUAUCCUGCACAGCAGUACACGACUGUUUCUUGCUGCAUGGCCCACGUUUCAGCAAUCCACAAUGAAAAGAACAAUAACUAUUUUCUUGAAUCAGAGUACCUAUGCUAUGCCUGGAUGUACACAAGAAUGGUUUUGUGCUUCUCUUUUUCAUCCUUCUUCAAGAUGGGUAUCCAAUCUAAGUGUAGUUUGAAAUCAUCCAAUCACCCUGCCAUGUUUACUUUGGUGAGUUGGCUCUGCCAUAUUCAGGUUUGACCAGCUCUACUAUGUAAAUCUCCCUUUUCUUUGAAUGAGAAUACUGUUGGGGUUCCUUGGGAUUUCUAUGGCUCCACUGUAUUUUUGGCACAUGAAAAGCGGUUGCAUUCAUAGUAUAAAUUCAGUGGGUUCUCUGAACUGUUGGCUGUCCUUGAAAGGGGAAUUUGGGGAUUUUGAGAAAUUAGGUGUUAGGGUAGGUGGAAAAUUCGGGAACUUUGCAAAUUUUGGUUUUUAGGGUUUUGGGAAAAUUGGAGAAAUCAAGAUUAUUAGGUGUCAAGGGUUCAGGAAAUUUUGAAAAUUUACCUAACUGGGGUUCUAGGUUUGCUGGUUUCAUUUUCAUACAGGUACUAUUGUAACUCUGUCAUUGUUAUGCAGAAGGCGGGAACAAUCAUGACGAUCACCUGGUGCAGAAAUCAUGAAAUGGUGUGGUCCAUUUGGCGAGUGGAUCACCAUGAUUUUUGCGCCAGGUGAUCACCAUGAUAAAAUCAAAUAACCAUUUGUAUUUAUGAUGGGCUUAUGCUGUUACUGCAGAUUCGACAGAUCAAAUAAGAAGGGUAUAUUAAAUGGUUACUUUCUUUGGUUGGUAUUUGGCUAUGGAUUUGGUGAGUCUCUUUGCAUCCUGUUUCCUUUCAUGUUUCCAUUUCUCCAUCUUGGAAUCAUUUACAACCAUUAUUCCUUUAUGUACUAUAAAAUAGUUGAUGGUUCUAAUGAUCACAGCUAUCAGCUUUUGUUGUGAUUCUGAUUGGGGAUCUGUAUAAUAUAAGGCAGGCCAAUUGAGUAUAUUGGUAAUGGAAGAAGUAUAGAUUUUUUUUUACCAUAAUAUAUAUUCCCCUUUCUCUGAACACCUUCAUGUUCUUAUAUAUAUAUAUAUGAAUGUAAUGUAUAAGUAUAUAAGGCAGGCCAAUUAGAAAAGAAUGUAUGGAUGUCGUGAAUCCGACUAAAAGCCAUCAUGUUUGGCACUGUGUAACUGUGUCUCCAGUAACUAUACACUUAUCAGCAUCCAAGACUCCAAGGUACGUGGAUUCUAAGACCUCUAUUCUCUUAGUAAGCUAUUUACAUGGGGUUGAGCCCUAGUGGUUUUUCUUGCCCAUAUUCUAACGACUUUCUUAUACUUUCAGAUAUGAAAAUUCAAGU